rnacentral:miRNA from 1 species
AUAUUGCUACAUACAUAGGGU